rnacentral:rRNA from 1 species
CGGCGUGCCUAACACAUGCAAGUCGAACGCGAAAGCCCCGCAAGGGGUAAGUAGAGUGGCGAACGGGUGAGUAACACGUGGGUGACCUGCCUUCGAGCGGGGGAUAACGUCCCGAAAGGGUCGCUAAUACCGCAUAACAUCCUGCCUUUGAACAGGUGGAGAUCAAAGCUGGGGAUCGCAAGACCUAGCACUCGAAGAGGGGCCCGCGCCUGAUUAGCUAGUUGGUGGGGUAAUGGCUCACCAAGGCUACGAUCAGUAUCCGGCCUGAGAGGGCGGACGGACACACUGGGACUGAGACACGGCCCAGACUCCUACGGGAGGCAGCAGUGGGGAAUUGUNUCGCAAUGGGCGCAAGCCUGACGACGCAACGCCGCGUGGAGGAUGAAGAUCUUCGGGUCGUAAACUCCUUUCGAUCGAGACGAAUUCCCCCGGGGUGAAUAAUCCCGGGGGUUGACGGUACCGAGAGAAGAAGCCCCGGCUAACUCCGUGCCAGCAGCCGCGGUAAUACGGGGGGGGCAAGCGUUGUUCGGAAUUACUGGGCGUAAAGGGCUCGUAGGCGGCCAACUAAGUCGGACGUGAAAUCCCUCGGCUUUAACCGGGGAACUGCGUCCGAUACUGGAUGGCUCGAGUAUGGGAGAGGGAUGCGGAAUUCCAGGUNGUAGCGGUGAAAUGCGUAGAUAUCUGGAGGAACAACCGGUGGGCGAAGGCGGCAUCCUGAACCAACAACUGACGCUGAAUAGCGAAAGC